CAACUGUGUUAAGCAGGAGGCGCUGCUUAGGGCAACUCGUGAAGUGAUGAAUAUGCUAAAUGAUGGAAAUCUCUUUUUAUUUAGACGGAGCUACCGAAUGUAAUCUGGUGCAAAGGGAUGACGCCCCGGAAAGCACAUGAUAACAUCUGUCAAACUUUACAUCUGACUGAUGAUACAUUAAUCGUUUAAUGAACUCCUACCUUCUGUUUAGUCAUAAACCUACUGUAGGAUCACACUGAUUCUGACAUGGGGCCUUAUAGCCACACUACAUGAUGGGAAGGCUACUCCGUGACAUCACCCUAAAUUAGUAGCAACUAGCAUGUGUAGCAUGUGGAGGUUUUGCUGUGACACAAGCAGAAUGAACACACCUGUCAAAGAAGCAAGUAAUAGUGACAUUCGAUUCUGUUCUUUUUUCUGAAUUCUACAGUCGUAAACUCUUCUGAAUAUCA